GAUGAACGCUAGCUACAGGCUUAACACAUGCAAGUCGAGGGGCAGCAUGAAAGGAACUUCGGUUCUUUUUGAUGGCGACCGGCGCACGGGUGCGUAACGCGUAUCGAACCUGCCUCAUACUCGGGGAUAGCCUUGCGAAAGUAAGAUUAAUACCCGGCAGUCUCGGAUGGCCGCAUGACUGUCCGAGUGAAGAUUUAUCGGUAUGAGAUGGCGAUGCGUCCCAUUAGCUAGUUGGUGAGGUAACGGCUCACCAAGGCACCGAUGGGUAGGGGUUCUGAGAGGAAGGUCCCCCACAAUGGAACUGAGACACGGUCCAAACUCCUACGGGAGGCAGCAGUGAGGAAUAUUGGUCAAUGGACGAAAGUCUGAACCAGCCAAGUAGCGUGCAGGACGACGGCCCUCUGGGUUAUAAACUGCUUUUAGUUGGGAAUAAAAAGAGGGACGUGUCCCUUAUUGUAUGUACCAUCAGAAAAAGGACCGGCUAAUUCCGUGCCAGCCGCCGCCGUAA
rnacentral:rRNA from 1 species